CCUACGGGAGGCAGCAGUGGGGAAUAUUGCACAAUGGGGGAAACCCUGAUGCAGCGACGCCGCGUGAGUGAAGAAGUCAUUCGUUAUGUAAAGCUCUAUCAGCAGGGAAGAAAAUGACGGUACCUGAGCAAGAAGCCCCGGCUAACUACGUGCCAGCAGCCGCGGUAAUACGCAGGGGGCAAGCGUUAUCCGGAUUUACUGGGUGUAAAGGGAGCGUAGACGGCAGUGCAAGUCUGGAGUGAAAGGCGGGGGCUCAACCCCCGGACUGCUCUGGAAACUGGACGGCUGGAGUGCAGGAGAGGGAAGGGGAAUGCCUGGUGUAGCGGUGAAAUGCGUAGAUAUGAGGAAGAACACCAGUGGCGAAGGCAGCUUACUGGACUGUAACUGACGUUGAGGCUCGAAAGCGUGGGGAGCAGACAGGAUUAGAUACCCUAGUAGUC
rnacentral:rRNA from 1 species